CAUGAUACAAGUUUUUGUUUUAAUAAUGGCAGCUGUUCAGUCAAGUAUGUUGAGAUCAUCUGACUUGAUAUCAUUGUUUUGUUGUUAUAAGUUUAAGAAAAAAAGGACAAACUUUGGGAAGUCAUUCAAAACAAAUUAUUUUGAAUGCUUAUUCUUAACUUCAGAAAGGAAAUGUGAAUUCUACAGUGGAGGAAAUAAUAAAGUUAACUUCUGAACUCAUUGGCAUGGCUGCCAGCAGCAUUUAUGCUACAAACAAAGAAUGGAAAUUGUUCUUGAGUAAAUUGUAGACUCCUGGUAAAAAAAAAAAGGCUACAUAAGAAGGGGAGGAAAGUUUGAUGAGUUUGUGUAUUCAGCAAUAAGAGGUAAUGUCCAUCAGUUUCUUUUUUUGGAAAUGAGCUUCCACUCUGAAAGCUAUUUUACAUGAAAUGAAUAACGAUCCAGAUUUGCCUUAUUUAAGUAUGACAUCUUUGUAUUGCAUUAUGAAAAAAAUAGGUUUUGCCUAUGAAAAACAGAAAAAGGAGUCAAAACUGCUGGAAAAUCCUGAAAUCAC
rnacentral:lncRNA from 1 species